rnacentral:rRNA from 1 species
GACGAACGCUGGCGGCGUGCUUAACACAUGCAAGUCGAACGGUGAAGCGCCUUCCUUUUUGGUGGGUGUGGAUGAGUGGCGAACGGGUGAGUAACACGUGAGUAACCUGCCCCCUUCUUCUGGAUAACCGCAUGAAAGUGUGGCUAAUACGGGAUAUUCUGGGUCUGUCGCAUGAUGGGUCUGGGAAAGAUAUUGUUUCGGUGGGGGAUGGGCUCGCGGCCUAUCAGCUUGUUGGUGGGGUGAUGGCCUACCAAGGCGGUGACGGGUAGCCGGCCUGAGAGGGUGGACGGUCACACUGGGACUGAGACACGGCCCAGACUCCUACGGGAGGCAGCAGUGGGGAAUAUUGCACAAUGGGCGCAAGCCUGAUGCAGCGACGCCGCGUGAGGGACGGAGGCCUUCGGGUUGUGAACCUCUUUCGCCAGUGAAGCAGGCCUGCCUCGUUUGUGGGUGGGUCGACGGUAGCUGGAGAAGAAGCGCCGGCUAACUACGUG